rnacentral:rRNA from 1 species
CCACCUCGGGGGAUAGUAGCCUGUAAUGCAGUCGAACGCUUCUUUCCUCCCGAGUGCUUGCACUCAAUUGGAAAGAGGAGUGGCGGACGGGUGAGUAACACGUGGGUAACCUACCCAUCAGAGGGGGAUAACACUUGGAAACAGGUGCUAAUACCGCAUAACAGUUUAUGCCGCAUGGCAUAAGAGUGAAAGGCGCUUUCGGGUGUCGCUGAUGGAUGGACCCGCGGUGCAUUAGCUAGUUGGUGAGGUAACGGCUCACCAAGGCCACGAUGCAUAGCCGACCUGAGAGGGUGAUCGGCCACACUGGGACUGAGACACGGCCCAGACUCCUACGGGAGGCAGCAGUAGGGAAUCUUCGGCAAUGGACGAAAGUCUGACCGAGCAACGCCGCGUGAGUGAAGAAGGUUUUCGGAUCGUAAAACUCUGUUGUUAGAGAAGAACAAGGACGUUAGUAACUGAACGUCCCCUGACGGUAUCUAACCAGAAAGCCACGGCUAACUACGUGCCAGCAGCCGCGGUAAUACGUAGGUGGCAAGCGUUGUCCGGAUUUAUUGGGCGUAAAGCGAGCGCAGGCGGUUUCUUAAGUCUGAUGUGAAAGCCCCCGGCUCAACCGGGGAGGGUCAUUGGAAACUGGGAGACUUGAGUGCAGAAAGAGGAGAGUGGAAUUCCAUGUGUAGCGGUGAAAUGCGUAGAUAUAUGGAGGAACACCAGUGGCGAAGGCGGCUCUCUGGUCUGUAACUGACGCUGAGGCUCUA